CCCUUAGAUGUCCUGGGCCGCACGCGCGCUACACUUAGUGUCUGAGAUACGAGUCUGCCUGGUCCGGCAAGGUCUAGGUAAUCGCUAAAAGACACAUCAUGCUUGGGAUAGAUUAUUGCAAAUAUUAAUCUUGAACGAGGAAUUCCUAGUAAGCGCAAGUCAACAGCUUGCGUUGAUUACGUCCCUGCCCUUUGUACACACCGCCCGUCGCUACUACUGAUUGGAUGUUUAAGCGAGGUUCUCGAACUGCUAGCGACUUAGCUUCGGUGAGGUCGCAGUGUGGGAAGUGAACCUAGCUUUGGUGUCUAGAGGAAGUAAAAGUCGUAACA
rnacentral:rRNA from 1 species